UCGAGCCGUAUGAAGGGAAACUCCCACGUACAGUUUGUUUUGGGGGGGAAGGAGCCCGACAGGGUCCCCCCACUGACUUGGCUCGGGCCUAAGUGAAAGUGCAAAAGUGAAGUGGUGGGCCUACCCAUCC
rnacentral:ncRNA from 1 species